AUGCAACUGCAGCUCCUUAUCCAACCACGGUGCUGGGAACCAGCACCACAAUUACUUUCAGACUCCCCAAGCCGCGGGCUGCCACUGCGGGCUCACAGCACAAGCCCCUCUCCCCAGGCAUCCCGAGCAGACGGAGGCCCCCAGAGGGGUCCUGCCCCCCCCGGACAGCAGCAGGGUCACGCCGGGUGGGCAGUGAGAGCCCGGUGGGUGUCCUCCUCCACCCCCUGUGCCGUGCCGAGCAGACACCCGCCCGCCUGCCCGCGGCUGAGUCCCCCUCCCUUGCCCCCAGCCUGCCUGACCCACAGCACCCACGGGUGUCACCCACGUUCCCCACUCUCGUGCCGCCAGCUCACACCCCGAUGCUUGCUGCCUCCCGCCAGCCUCUCCCCGCUGCCGAGGACGCUGCCCCGCACCGCCCCGAGCCCCCCCCAGCCGCCCCACGCCUCCCCAUGUGCUCCGCGCACCCGGCGAGCGUCUCCCAAAACUCCGUUUGUCCCGAGAGGCGAGGGUCCUCGCACCACCACCGACAGAAAGGGGACAGAAGUGCCGCUCGCUUCUCCCGACACCGAGCAGAGGUUCCCAGGCUGUCGCGAGCUGCCACAUCCCCAGGCUCGGAGCAGCUCCGUCGGCUCUGCAGCCGUGGGGCAGGCGAGGUCCGGAGCAGCCGGGCGCGCCCCGGGGCGGCGUUCUGCAGAGCCGCGCGUGGGCGACGCGCUUCUUGAACCGCUCUCGGGGUCUCUCCACGCCGGCUGUGGGAAGGGGCUGGGCGAGCCACAGCGUGGGCACUGGGGGACAGAGCUGCCUGCAGCCCGUGGCAGAAGCGGGGAUGGCUGCGUGCCGGCCGUGCCGUGGCUCGGCGGGUGGAGGAUGGCGGCAGGCUGUCCUCGGGCAGGGUGCCGGACCUCCUCGGGUGCCUCAAAGCCAGUGCUGUGCCCCCUGUGCCGCAGGGCGCGGGACGGAGGGGGGGUCUGUAAGCAGGGUCUCCAGGUGGAGCUGAGCCUCUGA
rnacentral:lncRNA from 1 species